CAGCAAGUCUUUGAUAAAUACAGGACAUAAACACUGUGGCUGACUCUAAGAGUUUAAAAUACCAAGACACAGAGUGAAAAAAAAAGAAAGCUUAUUAAACACCUCCCCUAUAUCCUCUCCCAACAAAGACCCCACUAACGUGCGAGAAAAAGAAUAAAGAUAAGCCACAUUAAGGAAUAGAACACAGAGUGGCCAAAAGCAAAGGAGAGAUUUCAACAGUUAUGGAAGAUGGAAAGACAGUGGAGAAGAGCUGAACAGUUUUGACCCCAAAUGGCUUACAGAGAUGUGUAAGUGACAGCAGUAAAGGUGCUACAAAAGUGCCUGAGGCACCUUGCAGAAGGCGAAGGAUGAAAUUUAAGACCAGCAGGUACUCAGGGGCUGGUGGAGGCAUCUCUUACACAUCACUGGGAAGACUGGAUGGUGUCUG